rnacentral:lncRNA from 1 species
ACAAAGUUUGAGAGAUACUUUAAGAACAUACUUCAUGAUAAUGCUUUAGAGUUAAUCAGCUUUAACAUAUUCAACAUAUUUCAAUCUAAGCUGAUUUAUAUUCAAUUCAAAACAUAAAGCAUUAUGAACAUAAAGCACAAGGCAAUAUUUCAUUCAGUGGAUGUCAAAUUAUUGCAAGCAUAUGAAUCACGUAACUCAAGGCAAUAAUGUCAGGGCAAGAUAAUGAGUAUAGAUCAGAGCCAAUUAAGGUAGUUUCAAAAUUAUGAUGAGAUCACAUCAAAUUUGAUGAUUUUAACAUUCUUUUAAAGUUCUUUUACCUUUCUUUAAAAAAAGAGUAAAUCUGAAACAAUUUCAGGGAUAAUAGAUAUCAUCAAAAUCAAGGAUGAAAAGUUUGGCUUUAAGAAUGAGACGUUUAGGAUGUGAGCCAGAAGUGAUCUCUAAAUGUAGAUUCCAAAGAUAGUUUUCAAAUCAAGUGUAGAUGGAAUCUUUUUCAAGUUAUUUCAAGGAGUAUCAAGAAUAAUAUUCAAAGAAAGCACGAAUGAAAAUCUAACACCCCUUUUUUUUAAUAUAUUAAGUAUAUAGCAAUGUGAGAGCAAUCUAAUUAAUUUUCAGAGUAUAGUAUAAGAGCAGAUAAAGAUCAAAACUUAUAUACUCGAAAAAUAUAAGAUUAUGUUGAAUCCUUAAUUCUUAAUGACUUCAAGGUUCUUUCAUGAUAUAAAAGUAUUGGGGCAUAGAUACCAAAAUAUCAAUUUAUGCAAUUUAGG